GCAAGUCGAACGAGCGAGAGAGAGCUUGCUUUCUCGAGCGAGUGGCGAACGGGUGAGUAACGCGUGAGGAACCUGCCUCAAAGAGGGGGACAACAGUUGGAAACGACUGCUAAUACCGCAUAAGCCCACGGCUCGGCAUCGAGCAGAGGGAAAAGGAACAAUCCGCUUUGAGAUGGCCUCGCGUCCGAUUAGCUAGUUGGUGAGGUAAUGGCCCACCAAGGCAACGAUCGGUAGCCGGACUGAGAGGUUGGCC
rnacentral:rRNA from 1 species